UAACUACGUACAACUUAAAUAAAGCUCAAACAAUAAUCAGCGGUUAUUCUAGUACUCCUUGUCUAGCCCCGAUAGUUAAGAUUAACUACGUACAACUUAAAUAAAGCUCAAACAAUAAUCAGCGGUUAUUCUAGUACUCCUUGUCUAGCCCCGAUAGUUAAGAUUAACUGCGUACAACUUAAUUAAAGCUGAGACAAUAACCAGCGGUUAUGACCAGUGCUCUGACUAGCCCCCCAUAGUUACUGCAACUGAGUACAACUUAACUAAAGUCAAGCGGUUAGCCAGAAAUCUAAAACCUCACCUGAUGUGCCCCAUGCUCCAUCUAGCCUGAGUUUUAGUAUGCACUUAACCCUGG
ensembl:lncRNA